GAUCUGCAGCCUUAUUUAGAAAAGCUUAAUGUUAAAGAUCUAGUGUAUUCAAAACUAAAGAUAGCAAAGAGCAUGAGAAUUUUCUUCUAUUAUGAGUGUAAAGAAGGGGAAGAAAUGUUUCCUUGUCUUCUCUGAGCCUAGAGGCCCUUGCUCUUUGAGGAAGUAGAGAGAAGGAAAGUCAAGUCAAGGUGGUGGGAGUAGUUUGCAAGUCUUUUUGUUCUGUUGGGUGGAAUUAACAGACUUCAGGUUAAGUAGCUGAGUCUAUUUAGAAACAAUUCUGUGCUUGCCAGAAAGGUGGAGGGGAGGGUGUUGGGUUUGGAGGUUAAUUCUUCUCCAAGAAUGAAAAUUGGCUUCUAAAUCUGAGCCUGCAGAGCCACAUAAAGUAAUCAUCCAUUUUUCACCUGGCCAGUGCAUAAUGGGAAGGGUGGGUUAAAAGUGGGAGGACCCGUUUUCUGAUGAAAGACUGAGCCAUGUUGACCCUGCCGUGUGGAGGAUUUUCAAGUGUACCCUCACCGAGUAGCCUGGUGUGUGUGUUUCCUUAUUUGUUGUGUGCACAAGGGAGCCCUACCCUGACUUUUGUUGAAGGCAGUUUCUGCCUUCUGAAAAAGCAGCUGGGAUUUGGGCGGUGGGUUGAGGGCUAGAAUAUCCUGUGAACCAAAAUGAUUCAGGUUCCCCUUGGCCACGAUGAGCCUCAUUCUGAGGUGUUCUGUAGUUUUUGAAUGUGGAUUUUAGGAAAGGUUCCUGUUCUCGUGUGUGUUGUUGGCCUGUGCGUGUGUGAUCUUCGAGGGUGCUGUUCGGCAUUUGUGUCUCUUGACUGUAUAGAAGACAGUUUGAAGUUCGGGCUUUAAACGUUUUAUUUAGA
rnacentral:lncRNA from 1 species